GUCCCAGUAGCGCAAUGGAUAGCGCGUUGGACUUCUAAUCCACUGAUCAUGGGUCCUAAUCCCACCUGGGAUG